UUUUAUUUAAUAAAUUAGUUUUAAUAUUAAUAAUUUAAAAAUUAAAAAUAGUAAUAAUAUAAAAUUAAAAAAUACACUGGAUUUAAAUAAAAGUAACAUAUUUACUAAAUAUAUUAAUAAUAAAUAUAAGUUAGUACCACUUAAAUCUUCAAGUUAUUUUAAUCCAAGUAAAUAUUAUCCUUCUGAAUCUAAAGAAUGAACUAAUAAUAUUUAUUAUUUUAAUUCUAAUUAUAUUAAAAA